rnacentral:lncRNA from 1 species
AUGCAUCUUUACACUCUGUUGUGUUACCAUUGCUAUGUAGUCUGUCUGAGACUGAAGGUGCACUUCAGCAGCUCUAGUAAGAAGAAAUGCUCCAGUGUGAGUGGUGUCCUCUUCUCAGCUGGUGGUCAAAGUUUGGUACCUUCACCAAUUGCUCCGAUAUUCUUGCCUGAGAUUUUCUGUGGGAAAACACAUGCCUGUAUACCAUGCCACAGCAUGGGGUACAUUACAUGGCCCCUGACUCAGUUAAUUUGCAGAGCUGCGUGUCCUCUGUAGCCUUCAGAGUUUUUAAUUUACUCUUAGUAUAUUUUUGAAGAAAGUCAAAACUCAAAAACAGAUCAUGAGUAAAGAGUGUUUUAUGAAGCUCAAAGAAUUCUGUUUUCUAUAGCUGAUAGAUCAUCAAAGUGCUAAUAGGUUGGUUGAUUCGUAGGAAAUAAUACUUCUGUUGAGAUUAGUAUGUUUGCUAUUCUGUCAUUAGAAAAUAAACAAUUAAGAUGUAGACUGAAAGGUCUGGGG